CAUGUAGGUGGUAACAUAAGUCGAGCGUGAAAUCCUUUGGCUCAACCAAAGAACUGCACUCGAAACUGCGUUACUUGAGUUCAGGAGAGGAAAGCGGAAUUCCCGGUGUAAGAGUGAAAUCUGUAGAGAUCGGGAGGAACACCAGUGGCGUAGGCGGCUUUCUGGACUGAUACUGACACUGAAAUGCGAAAGCUAGGGGAGCAAACAGGAUUAGAUACCCUGGUAGUCC
rnacentral:rRNA from 1 species